rnacentral:lncRNA from 1 species
UAACGUGCAACAGUUGUGUAUCCUUAACGAUGGCGAAGGUUUCGAUCUACCGAAUGAUUCUCUUUGCGGCCGCAUAUGCCGUUGUUUUGUCCGCGAUGCUAGAUGAAGGCACUUUGUGCGCCAGUGCAAGAAUACAAGCUCCUGCUGGCCUUGCAUCUGGACCUGGAGCUGCACCGGGGCCUGCACCUAGGUCAUCUGGCCUUGGAUCUCCUCAAUCUUCUGGAUUUUCUGGAAACGGUUUGGGCCGCAGUUCUGCAUCUGGCGGUCGUGGCUACGAGGACCCUCGGGGCCGCUUAGGCUACGGUGGUGAUCCCGGCGUUUCUGGCAUGCAUGGCAUUGCUGAGGCUCCUGCCACUUUUUAAUCGCCAAACGUAUACUUCAUGUCCUUAGAAAAUUCCUGCCGACGGCUAAGCGUCAUUAAAAAACUUAUUGCCACAGCUGUGUAGCCCCAAAAAAUGUAAAUGUGGAAAUAAAUAUGUCGCGUCCCCA